rnacentral:lncRNA from 10 species
CAUUUGAUCAUAGUUCAGAUACUCAAGAUAAACUGGAACACCUGGUCUCAUAGCCAUCUUUAACUUCCGCACUUUUUCUCCUCAUUGAUUCAGCACAAGUCCAUGGGUCACAAGAGCUUUGAAAGACACCUCUGAUGGGCUUCAGGAUUAUUAUUGGAAUGGAAGACUUAACUUAGAUUAUGGUUUCAGAAACAACCUGGCCCAGGCAUGAGUAUCUGCUGAAAGGUUUUUGAGUAAAUAUUGUCAAAAUGUCUGCUACCCAAAGUGGUCUACAGAUUCAGUGAAAUCCCUAUCAAGAUAGCAAUAAGAGGCUGUUCUAUAAAGACUUUGGCACCAUAUUCCACAUUUAUCUGUAGCUUGACAAAGAACUACAGAAACUAUGAGUAAACAGCCCAGAUUAUUUUCCCAGACAGGACAGGAUCAUCCUAGACCUUAGGAUCUUAUGUAAGUCUUAUACUGAGGAAAUUAAGGAUAAAGGUUCACAUCCACACUGACCACUGACCUGUUCUAGGCAAUGGGAUGUCACUUUUCUCAUGUCCUCUUACAUAAAGUUUUGUUGGCCUUUCAUAUGCCAUUUCAGCAAAGGAAGUGCCAAGUGCUGUCCCUCCCAACUCACGCCCAAUGUCGGAGCAACUGGUGCAUGUUUCACUUCAGGCAGAUGUGACCCCAUCUGUCCCACUCCUUUCUAAACAUUCCCUUUCCUCAAGUUGUCUGCAAUUCCCUCAUCUUUGUUCCUAUAUAGUCAUGAAAGAGGCUCUACACUCACAUUUUUUCCAUCACAAAGUACAUCCCAGUUGACUUUAAAGCUGGCCCCAAGGAUCCCUGAGCCUAAAGACCUGACCACCAUGUCGACUUGGGUGAUUCCAAAAAGGGAAGUGUAAGAUUCAACCCUCCACUGUUCAUUUUGCCACAGGAAACCAAUAUACCCAAUUUGUCUGGAUAAAGGAUACUUUGGAAAAUUUACAUCAAAACAAAAUUUUCAAAAUCCACUGGAUGUCAGCAUUUUUACAAGCACUUUGUGUAAACAUAGUUAGGAAAUAGCUGUGGAAAUCCUUCCUCUGCAACCAGAGUUUGUCUAUGAUGCAGUCAGUACAGAUACGAAGAGCCACGUUUAUAUCAUGGGGCACACCUGCUUUUUUCUCCUGAGUCUCAGUUUUGGAAAUAAACCAGGUUCUACCAACCUGUGCUCGUAACAUACUUAAAAGAACCUUGACAUAAAACUAAAAGCAUUUUUCCUCACGUCUCUAAACAUUUUCCCCUGGACACAAAGUUGGUUUCUGCCUGUUUCAUCCCCGAUCUUUCACUUCAACACUGAGAUAUCAGGAAGCAAACAUGAAGCAACAUGGAGGACAGGCCUGGGUGCCCAUCACUGGGCCACUUGCGAGGCUAGAACCAGCCAUGGUCACCAGUAGCCACUGUUUGUCUACAGACUUUCCCCGUGAAAGGGGUAAAGGCGUAGUUGAGGACAGCACGACUUCAGUGACCUUCCCAGCUGCAGUCUUUCCCUGCAGGGUGCUGCUCUGCACUAUUCUUCCUGGAGCCUGGCCUUGCAGAAGCUUGGAGAGUUAGAAAAGGCACUGGUUGGCCAAGAUGUGAAUGGAUGAC